ensembl:lncRNA
GUCCGUGACUGAAACCUCCCCGCCCCCGCCGCCUCCUCCCCCCGCGCCGGGGGAACCUCGCACACAUGUGACCCGGGAAACCAUGACAACCUCCCGCCGGGGACUGCGGCCCGCAGCGCGCCCCCCCACCCCGCACUGCCGGGAGGAGCGGGCGGGCGGCGGGAUGCGGCGCUCCUCUCAGGCUCCGGCCCCGCCGAGGGGGUUCCGCCGUCCCUGCGGUAUUUCACCGCUCGUUGCCGUUGUGCUUUUUUUUGUGGGCCACGGACGACCAUAAAGAGAUCCCCGCAUCGCUCGUAUGCGUAGAUACGCCAUACGUUCAUAGUCACAUAACGUAGGAAGCGCAGUGUCAGAAAACGCCUCCGGUCAUCUGGCUGCCUCGAGGUCCACGAUCACCACAUCUAGAGAAAGAAACAAUUGGAAAAGACAAAAGUUCCCUUUCAGCGCUGCCGCCCAGCCCGCGCUGCGGGGUCCGCCCGGUGCGGUGAGCAGGUGCUGCCGUCGCUGCCGUGCGCUCAGGGCUGCAGGCAGUGCCCGCGGGCCCGCUUUGUCACGGAGCUCUGCGGAAUGCUGCUCGGAAGUGAAGUCCUGGGAAGGCAUGAAAACCGGUUUGUAAUCGCCUCAGCGUGUGGGGAUGACAGCAGCAUGGAAUCAUUAAGGUUGGAAAGACCACUACAGUCAUCUAGUCCAACCGUCAGCCCAUCCCCACCAUCCCGAUAACCCAUGUCCCUCAGUGCCACAUCUCCACGUUUCUUGAGCACCUGCAGGGGCAGUGACUCCGUCACCUCCCUGGGCAGCCUGUGCCAGCGCCUCACCACUCCUGCUGAGAAGAAAUUGUUCCUAAUAUCCAACCUGAACCUCCCCUGGUGCAAUUUGUGGCUAUUUUCUCUCACCCUAUCACUGUUACCUGGGAGCAGAGACCAACUCCCACCUCGUCGCAACCUCCUUUCUGGCAGUGUAGAGAACAAUAAGGUCUUUCCUGAGCCUCCUCCAGGCCAUCGCAGUUCCCUCAGCCGCUCCCCAUCAGACGUGUGUUCCAUAUUCUUCACAGCUUUGUUGCACUUCUCUGGACACGCUCCAUGGCCUCGACGUCCUUCUUGUAGUGAGGGGCUCACAGCUGAGCACAGAAAUUUCUGUCAGCCCUGGGUUUGUGCACAAAAUGAAUCAAUGGCCCAAAGGUCCAAGCUCAGGACCACUCUGCUGUUUGGAAAUUGCUUUUACUGGACACUCGCCAUUAUUUCAGCUACCCUGAAAUGUACUUCAAAGAGACUUGGUGAGAAAAAUAGUCAAAAAUCAAGUUUGUCUCAGCAAGGAGAUACUGAAUGUAUCUUGAUGAUGAUGUGGCUUCAGCAAGUAACAAGAAGAAAAUGUAGCAAUCUCUGUGGUGCUUUUUUUCAUUCAAGCUAUGACCUCAAAGCCAUUUUUAAUUGGAUGCAUUUCCAAAUGAAGCCACUGCUCCCUGUAGGAGCAUUUUUCCAGUUGCACCUGGUUCACAAAUUGGACAUUAUGAACUUGGCAAACCAGUACAGUGAGCGAUCUGUGUUUAGGGGUGAUACCUCUGCUCUACAGCAGGUGAAAGACACCUCUACCAACAGAGUAUAGGACACUGUUCAGCAGUGUCUUGUGGCUUGCUUUCUCUCUGUGGGAAAAGCCAGUAUGGAGCACUGAUGAACAAAAUGAAGUUCACAGCUAUUUAGCACUGCCCAGCAUGAGAGAUAUCUCCAUAACCACACUAAGUCCUGAAGACAGGCCAUGAGCACACACUACACUGCAGAAGGCUGCUCCUCCAACAGGCACUGGGAAUGCUGCAGCUUCCUUCUGGUGGCCAGGAGCCCUGGUUUCAGCCAAAGCACAGUGCCAACAUCACAUCAAUGCUGUGGUUGCUGCUGAGCAAUGGGAGCUUCCUGGGGCCCUUUAUGCGUGUCAGCAGGAGGUGGACAGAGCCCAGACAGAUCUACAGCCAACUUGAAUUGAGUGGACACACCAGGCUGUGUGACUGGCAGCUUUGUGCAUUAGUGGGCAUCAGACCUGAGUUCAGCUAUUGCCGAGUCUGUGAGGGAAGGUGUGUGGCUGGAAUUGGAAACACUGGAUUUGAGAGAAGAACCUUAAUUCAAACCAGCAGGCUUUAAAGGACAAAUGUGGACAGUUCAGAGCUGUGUGCUAGAGAGCCAAGUCUUUAGUUUGUCUCAGAAUGGUUUGUUUAUAAGAACUGGCAAAUGUGCUUUUGAUUAAAGACAAACAUCCAAAUGCACUGACUUCUACAGAUUCUGGAACAGAAGGACUCUCACUCUCAUUUAUGCGUGCACACAUAAAUAUAUGUCUAUAUCUGAUAUUACUGUUCUUAUUUUGGUAGAACCUAGAGACCCCAUCACAUUAAUCAUUCUACAGAUGCAAUAAUUACCCAGCAGAGCCUUCAAGCAAAUAGGAAAAGGAAGAAACGUGGUCUCAAGGACAGAUAGGUAGGUUGGUAGUCUUUCGUAUUUCUUCGUCCUGCCUUGAGUUAUACCUCAUAGCUCAGGUGUGUGCUUGUUCCCAGAGGUUUGAUCUACAUGGCUGCUUGAAGAGAGGGUUAUACACACUUCCCCAUAACACAUAUAGCAAGGAUCUAGGUUCAGGGUGCACCCCUUGCCCUGUGGAUUUCUCCAUCUGCUGUCUAGAUAAUGUAAGAGCAUCUUUGUCCAUUGGGGACUUGGACCAGAAACAUCUGGGUUUAGCAGGAAGAGAAACUCAUGAAGAAAGGAGAAGAAAUAUUUUGAAGCCUGGCAGCAGCGUGGAGAUGGAUCUCCAUGAACUGAAGCAGAAGUGGAGACUGAAACUGGCAAUUCUGAGAGGAGUCUUCCAGGCCAGGACCUUCCACAGAGUUUAUGGUGCCAGAAGUACCUGUCCCUGAAAGCCAAUUUUUCCCACCAAGGAAAGGUAUGGUCCUGUCCUUCCAGGUCAGCCUCCAAAAUAGAUGUUUUCAGAAAAGGUCUAUCAGGUCUUUUGGCUGAGGGAAACCUACAUCAGCGUUUCACUGCAGAGGGCUUCCUUUCUCCCAGAAGAACAAAAAGAAAGAAAAAACAAUGUAUCCAAGAGCCUCAAGGGCCUGUAGGCUCAUCCCUGGUAACAUCUCUGGCCUGUCAGAUAUUUCUAAGCUGUGGGCUCUGAAUGCCUCAAAUGUUGGUAUCCAUAAAAGCCCUGGCUUUCAGAAUGAGAUAAGACUUUUCUCACAGGAUUUAUAGACCACAGUGAGCAACCUUCUAAUGCAUCCUAGAACCUCUGAGUGGGAAAUGGGUCUUGGCAGACAGCACAGCUUCCAAAGUCCUUGUGACUUCUGAAAACCAUGUCACCUGCUCCAGCUAUGUGCAGUUUUCUGGGAGAUCCAAAUCUUUCCUUGUAGCACCACUCUGAAGGGUCCUAGGAGAAGUCACUGGGGUGGAAACAAUCACAGAGACUGCAAAACAUAGCCUGGUUUCCUGAAUAGGAAGAAGAUGAUGAAGUAAGUAGAUAUCUUGUUUUACCACCAUUCGUUUGCCAGAUAGUCCUGUGGGAGCUGGCAGAAAAGUCCAACUAGUCUCAUCCUUAUUAUAGAAGGGGGAUAAUGACUGCUGAGAGGACAGAAGGAUUCUCAGUGUGUGAUCAGUGCCCAUACUGCUGCCUUGGCCAGCUUACAGUAUGAUACUCACCAGGCUGAGACUUUUUUCCUUAAUCCAAAAAGUGCUAGCCUAGUUCUGUUGGGAACAUGGGAAUCAGCAUUGCAUGGCUUGAGGUAUGGAAGGAACUGGGAUCACACUGUUCUCCUCACCUGUCCUAGGUCCCAGUCAGACACAUCUGUGGAUCUGGUUUGUGCUACCGAAGGGAGACUGCUUUCUGUGAGUCUCUACUUCUUCUUUCCCCUCUCUCUUAUCCUUCCAAGAUGAAGAGGAAUAGCUAUUAUCUUAAAAUAUCUAUUACUUAGUAAAGAUUAAACAUUAUUUCAUGUUUAAACAUGAGAAGUAUUUAAUAUUUUAAGAUUUAAAACAAAUUAACAUUUACAAAUUAUUCUGUUAUAUAAGCAAAUCCUUGUUUAGAAGGAUAAUGUUUUGAAAAAAGCUUCUACAAAAAAAAACUUGACGUAUUUUAAUUGAUGGCUUUCAUUUUCUAUUUUGUGUCUCAACCAUUGGCAUACCUCAGUUUAGAUGUCAACAUUUUUAUGCCUGGAAGCUGGGGAAUAAAAAUAGUUACACUCUAAAAAGAGGCAGUUCUGAGGGUGAGAGGUCCUGAUCUUGCAAGCUCUUGCUCAAAUGGAAACUCAAUGGGACUACUAAGGGUGAGGAGGAAUUACUCACCCAGCAGACAUUACAAAAUGAGGCUGAGCUCCUCUACUAAAAUGGUAAUAGCUUAAACAUGGAAAAUCUUAUUCAUUCUGCUGAAAUGGGAGGGUGUAAAUAUCUGAGUUUUUUGAAGAAGUGGCCACAGCUGAAAGGCAGCAGAUAUCUGUUUUGAAAGCAGAUGAAAACCUCCUGCUAAGUGGUUAUGCUGCAGUGUUGUCUUAACAUUCAUUGUGUGGUUUGAUUAUUUUGUUUUUAUUGAGUUUUUAUAUUUAAUAUAGAUGAGCUACAGUGAUUGCAGGAUGGUUUGGAAGCCAAGUAUGUAUUCGUGUGAAUAUUAACAAUGCCUUGGGCUACAAAGAAAGCUUGAAAACUUUGUAUUAACUUAAAUAAAAAUCAGUGCAUGUUUGGAAUUACUUAAUUACGUGCCCUUAAAAACAGUUUUCUUGGUACAAUUAAUUGGAUGACCUUACUCUCGAAAAAAUGUGCUACAUGACAGAAAUGUACUAUAUGGCAAAAAUAUCUUUAUUUCCAUCACAAAGAAGUCCUGACACGGGACAGAAAACCUAAUUUUAUUCCAAGCAAUCCAGCUGGUACAUAUGAAAUUCAGAAAGAAUGAACACAUCACGACACCCCACACCGACUGUCUGACUCUCGAGAUAAGGGUAAGUGCCUAAUAGCUGCUUUCCAGAAAAAGAGUACUCAGCUAAGAACCAGGGUACAUGUCAAGAAGGUUUUAAAGUGGGAGCAUUACUCACAGCUCAACAGUGAUUAGAGAAUAUUAAAAUAAGCCACAGAACCCUCUCUCUUCUUUUAGUACUCCAAGUGAAUGGAAAAAUAUGCCCAAACACUUUUCUCCUCUGGCCCUUUCUUACCUGAUGCUCGGUUUCUGAGUACCUCUAUGCUGAAAGUCAGCUUAGGUUUGCUAAGAGACAGCCCCCACUUUCAGGAUUCAGUGUCUGUG